rnacentral:rRNA from 1 species
AUUGAACGCUGGCGGCAGGCCUAACACAUGCAAGUCGAGCGGUAGCACAAGAGAGCUUGCUCUCUGGGUGACGAGCGGCGGACGGGUGAGUAAUGUCUGGGAAACUGCCUGAUGGAGGGGGAUAACCACUGGAAACGGUGGCUAAUACCGCAUAAAGUCGCAAGACCAAAGUGGGGGACCUAAGGGCCUCAUGCCAUCAGAUGUGCCCAGAUGGGAUUAGCUUGUUGGUGAGGUAAAGGCUCACCAAGGCGACGAUCCCUAGCUGGUCUGAGAGGAUGACCAGCCACACUGGAACUGAGACACGGUCCAGACUCCUACGGGAGGCAGCAGUGGGGAAUAUUGCACAAUGGGCGCAAGCCUGAUGCAGCCAUGCCGCGUGUAUGAAGAAGGCCUUCGGGUUGUAAAGUACUUUCAGUAGGGAGGAAGGUGGUGAGUUUAAUACGCUCAUCAAUUGACGUUACCUACAGAAGAAGCACCGGCUAACUCCGUGCCAGCCGCCGCUGUAAAAC